GUGAAUCAUCAAAUUUUUGAACGCAAAUUGCACUCUCUUCGGAGAGUAUGCCUGUUUGAGGGUCAGCCUAAAAAAAAUCGACAUAGUUGCUGUUUCGCGGUGACAUUCGUCGGAAAUUGGGUCAUCUUAAACCUUUGGGUUUAAACCGCCUUAAAUUUUUCUUUACAUUUCCAGAAAGUUUUUUAGGAUUUUACUUCUUAUACGUUUAAGGUAUCGAUCUUUAUUAGACGUGGCCGUUGCAUCGGAUCACGUCCAUAAAUAUUUCGUUACUUAACUUAUACAAGUAAGAACACCCCCUUAA
rnacentral:misc_RNA from 1 species